rnacentral:rRNA from 1 species
UACGUAGGGUGCGAGCGUUGUCCGGAAUUAUUGGGCGUAAAGAGCUUGUAGGCGGUUUGUCGCGUCUGCCGUGAAAAUCCGGGGCUCAACCCCGGACUUGCGGUGGGUACGGGCAGACUAGAGUGUGGUAGGGGAGACUGGAAUUCCUGGUGUAGCGGUGAAAUGCGCAGAUAUCAGGAAGAACACCCGUGGCGAAAGCGGCUCUCUGGAACGGUACUGACGCUGAGGCGCGAAAGCGUGGGGAGCAAACAGG